rnacentral:rRNA from 1 species
GAUGAACGCUGGCGGCGUGCCUAAUACAUGCAAGUCGAACGAAGGUUGUAGCAAUACAUCCUUAGUGGCGAACGGGUGAGUAACGCGUUGGUGACCUGCCCCGAAGUGUGGGAUAACAGUCCGAAAGGAUUGCUAAUACCACAUGUUUUCAUCUGGAUUAGAUGCCAGAUGACCAAAGACGUAAGUCGCUUCGGGAGGGGCCUGCGUCCCAUCAGCUAGUUGGUAAGGUAAUGGCUUACCAAGGCGAUGACGGGUAGGGGACCUGAGAGGGUGCCCCCCCGAAAUGGAACUGAAACAGGGUCAAUACACCUACGGGUGGCAGCGGUAGGGAAUAUUGUUUAAGGGGCGAAAGCGGAAACCAACAACGCCGCGUGCACGAUGAAGGCCUUCGGGUUGUAAAGUGCUUUUUGAGGGGAUGAGGAAGGACAGUACCCUCAGAAUAGGUCUCGGCUAACUACGUGCCAGCCGCCGCGGUAAUAC